rnacentral:rRNA from 1 species
GUGGGGAAUCUUCCGCAAUGGACGAAAGUCUGACGGAGCAACGCCGCGUGAGUGAAGAAGGUUUUCGGAUCGUAAAGCUCUUUCGUUAGGGACGAACGUGCUCUUUGUGAAUAAUGAGGAGUAAUGACGGUACCUAAAUAAGAAGCCACGGCUAACUACGUGCCAGCAGCCGCGGUAAUACGUAGGUGGCAAGCGUUGUCCGGAAUUAUUGGGCGUAAAGCGCGCGCAGGCGGGAUAUCAAGUCUGUCUUAAAAGUGCGAGGCUCAACCACGUGAGGGGACAGAAACGGGUAUUGUUGAGUGUCGGAGAGGAAAGUGGAAUUCCAAGUGUAGCGGUGAAAUGCGUAGAGAUUUGGAAGGACACCAGUGGCGAAGGCGACUUUCUGGACGAUGUCUGACGCUGAGGCGCGAAAGCUAGGGGAGCGAACGGGAUUAGAUACCCCUGUAGUCC